AAUAGACACCUUAUCCUAGGG
rnacentral:miRNA from 1 species